UGGAUGGGGCGCGCCGGAGGGCAGCCUUCAAAAAAUCUUGGAAAGCUGUCAGUAUGAGCGUUAGCAAGUAAGCUCAGUUAAAACUUUCACAACGGAUCUCUUGGUUCCGGCACAGAUGAAGAACGCAGCGAAAUGCGAUAAGUAAUGUGAAAUGCAGAAUUCCUUGAAUCAUCGAAUCUUUGAACGCACAUUGCGCCCUCUGGUAUUCCGGGGGGCAUGCCUGUUCGAGCGUCAUUUCAACCCCUCAAGCCCGGCUUGUGUGAUGGACGACCGUCCGGCCCCCUCUUUCGGGGGCGGGACGCGCCCGAAAAGCAGUGGCCAGGCCGCGAUCCGGCUUCCUGGGCGAAUGGGCAGUCAAACCAGCGCCCUCGGACCGGCCGCUCUGGCCUUCCCCCAAACU
rnacentral:misc_RNA from 1 species